CUGCAGGCUGUUCAGCGAGGCUGAGUCUCCUGUGACUCUGUCCUUUCCUUUAUGUCUGCUAGAUAGACAUGGAGUGGUUUGAGACCCUGUUGUCUACUAAAUACAGCGUGGUUAUAGAAACUCCAGAUAAAC
rnacentral:snoRNA from 8 species